rnacentral:rRNA from 1 species
CCUACGGGAGGCUGCAGUGGGGAAUAUUGGACAAUGGGGGGAACCCUGAUCCAGCCAUGCCGCGUGUGUGAAGAAGGCCCUCUGGUUUGAAAGCACUUUCAGUGAGGAAGAACGCCUGGUGGUUAAUACCCAUCAGGAAAGACAUCACUCACAGAAGAAGCACCGGCUAACUCCGUGCCAGCAGCCGCGGUAAUACGGAGGGUGCGAGCGUUAAUCGGAAUUACUGGGCGUAAAGCGCGCGUAGGUGGCUUGAUAAGCCGGUUGUGAAAGCCCCGGGCUCAACCUGGGAACGGCAUCCGGAACUGUCAAGCUAGAGUGCAGGAGAGGAAGGUAGAAUUCCCGGUGUAGCGGUGAAAUGCGUAGAGAUCGGGAGGAAUACCAGUGGCGAAGGCGGCCUUCUGGACUGAAACUGACACUGAGGUGCGAAAGCGUGGGUAGCAAACAGGAUUAGAUACCCCAGUAGUC